rnacentral:rRNA from 1 species
CAGCCGCCGCGGGAAAACGUAGGUUGCAAGCGUUAAUCGGAAUUACUGGGCGUAAAGCGUGCGCAGGCGGUUAUAUAAGACAGAUGUGAAAUCCCCGGGCUCAACCUGGGAACUGCAUUUGUGACUGUAUAGCUAGAGUACGGCAGAGGGGGAUGGAAUUCCGCGUGUAGCAGUGAAAUGCGUAGAUAUGCGGAGGAACACCGAUGGCGAAGGCAAUCCCCUGGGCCUGUACUGACGCUCAUGCACGAAAGCGUGGGGAGCAAACAGGAUUAGAUACCCCUGUAGUCCCUGUCUCUUAUAC